GAUGAACGCUAGCGGCAGGCCUAACACAUGCAAGUCGAGGGGCAGCACAGAAACAGCAAUGUUUUGGUGGCGACCGGCGGACGAGUGCGUAACGCGUAUGCAACCUACCUUUAACAGGGGGAUAACGGAGAGAAAUUUCCACUAAUACCCCAUAACAUCGAUCAAGGCAUCUUGAUUGGUUGAAAACUCCGGUGGUUAAAGAUGGGCAUGCGUUGUAUUAGGUAGUUGGUGAGGUAAUGGCUCACCAAGCCUACGAUACAUAGGGGGACUGAGAGGUUAGCCCCCCCCACUAGUACUGAAACACGGACCAGACUCCUACGGGAGCCGGCAGUGAGGAAUAUUGGUCCAUGGGGGCAACCCUGAACCAGCCAUGCCGCGUGCAGGAAGACGGCUCUAUGAGUUGUAAACUACUUUUAAACAGGGAUAAAGCACAGUAUGUAUACUGUGUUGAAGGUACUGUAAGAAUAAGGUUCGGCUAUCUCCGUGCCAGCCGCCGCCGUAA
rnacentral:rRNA from 1 species